CCCUUAGAUGUUCUGGGCCGCACGCGCGCUACACUGACUACUUCAACGAGUUGUUUCCUUGAUCGAAAGGUCUGGGUAAUCUUUGAAAGGUAGUCGUGAUGGGGAUAGAUCCUUGCAAUUUUUGAUCUUCAACGAGGAAUUCCUAGUAAACGCAAGUCAUCAGCUUGCAUUGAUUACGUCCCUGCCCUUUGUACACACCGCCCGUCGCACCUACCGAUUGAAUGGUCCGGUGAAUCUUUAGGACUGUGGCUGAGGCCUUGCCUUGUGCGGGUCUGGCCGUGGGAAUUUAGUUAAACCUUACUAUUUAGAGGAAGGUGAAGUCGUANCA
rnacentral:rRNA from 1 species